CUGUUUGUAAGUUAUGCAUAGUUGUUGCGUUUUUAAAGAAAUAUUUUCUUUUAUGUUCUUCGAUUUGAUCAUACGUAAAGGAAAAUUUGCACCAGCUGAAGAACUUAUUUACGGAAGAUACGGAAAAUUAUUAUGGGCGUUAUAACCUUCAAGAUUUUAAACUAAUUCAAGACCAUUGCAAUAAGAUCAAACCAUUCGGAGACUGCAUGUUGGAUGGCCAAAAGAGCAAAGUGCCGACAACGGUUUUGGAUUAAGCUCUCGGACAUCGGACGACGACGAGCUACAAGAGCAGGCAAAUUGGGCUGGUUAAAGCACCAAAAACGUAUGGCCUGUGUUACACUGCACGCAGCUCAAACCACCACUUCAGAACAUCGCUUCGCCGACAGCAUAUGUAUACCUACAUAGAGGGGAGCACAAUCAUUUGAAUCAUCAU